AUACGGAGGAUGCGAGCGUUAUCCGGAUUUAUUGGGUUUAAAGGGUGCGCAGGCGGGCGAUUAGGUCAGCGGUGAAAGGCUCGGGCUCAACCGGAGCAGUGCCGUUGAUACUGGUUGUCUUGAAUGCGGUCAAGGCCGGCGGAAUGUGGCGUGUAGCGGUGAAAUGCAUAGAUAUGCCACAGAACACCGAUAGCGAAGGCAGCGGGCCGGGCCUGCAUUGACGCUGAGGCACGAAAGCGUGGGGAUCGAACAGGAUUAGAUACCCUGGUAGUCCACGCUGUAAACGAUGGACACUCGUUGCCGGCGACAGACAGUCGGCGGCCAAGCGAAAGUGAUAAGUGUCCCACCUGGGGAGUACGGUCGCAAGGCUGAAACUCAAAUGAAUUGACGGGG
rnacentral:rRNA from 1 species